rnacentral:piRNA from 1 species
UGAGUCCUAGAACGCAGGCCUGGUUGCCC